rnacentral:rRNA from 1 species
UACGUAGGGGGCAAGCGUUGUCCGGAUUUAUUGGGCGUAAAGAGCGUGUAGGCGGCCUGAAAGGUCAGCUGUGAAAACUCGGGGCUCAACCUCGAGACGCCGAUGGAAACCCUCGAACUAGAGUCCGGAAGAGGAGAGUGGAAUUCCCGGUGUAGCGGUGAAAUGCGCAGAUAUCGGGAAGAACACCCGUGGCUAAGGCGGCUCUCUAGUACGGUACUGACGCUGAGACGCGAAAGCGUGGGGAGCGAACAGG